rnacentral:rRNA from 1 species
CAGUAGCCGCGGUAAUACGUAGGUCCCGAGCGUUGUCCGGAUUUAUUGGGCGUAAAGGGAGCGCAGGCGGUUUAGUAAGUCUGAAGUUAAAGGCAUUGGCUCAACCAAUGUAUGCUUUGGAAACUGUUAGACUUGAGUGCAGAAGGGGAGAGUGGAAUUCCAUGUGUAGCGGUGAAAUGCGUAGAUAUAUGGAGGAACACCGGUGGCGAAAGCGGCUCUCUGGUCCGUCACUGACGCUGAGGCUCGAAAGCGUGGGUAGCGAACAGGAUUAGAUACCCCGGUAGUCCCUGUCUCUUAUACA